AGAGUUUGAUCCUGGCUCAGAUUGAACGCUGGCGGCAGGCCUAACACAUGCAAGUCGAGCGGCAGCAGGUCCUUCUUCGGGGAGGAUGCUGGCGAGCGGCGAACGGGUGCGUAACGCGUGGGAACCUACCCCUUGGUGGGGGAUAACCCGGGGAAACCCGGGCUAAUACCGCAUAAGCUCUACGGAGGAAAGUGGGCCUCUGAUUUUCAAGCUCACGCCGAGGGAUGGGCCCGCGUCCUAUCAGCUAGUUGGUGAGGUAACGGCUCACCAAGGCGACGACGGGUAGCUGGCCUGAGAGGGUGGUCAGCCACACUGGGACUGAGACACGGCCCAGACUCCUACGGGAGGCAGCAGUGGGGAAUCUUGGACAAUGGGCGCAAGCCUGAUCCAGCCAUGCCGCGUGCGGGAAGAAGGCCUGCGGGUUGUAAACCGCUUUCGUGGGGGACGAAGGGCACUUGGGUUAAUAGCCUGAGUGUUUGACGUUACCCCAAGAAGAAGCACCGGCUAACUCCGUGCCAGCAGCCGCGGUAAUACGGAGGGUGCGAGCGUUAAUCGGAAUUACUGGGCGUAAAGGGUCCGUAGGCGGUCUGCU
rnacentral:rRNA from 1 species